rnacentral:snRNA from 1 species
UUUCAUAUACUGUGGCAGUAUUGUAGACAAUGAGGUUUAUCCAAGGUGCAAUUAUUGCUACUUGAAAAGUAAGAUUAACAGUGGGAAUUUGUACACUGUCUCACAUGAUUCCCAUUUUACUAUUUUCAGAUCCAUUUAGUAUG